rnacentral:lncRNA from 1 species
AGGAAGAUCUGGGUUUGAAUUAUAGUUUGGCUGCUUCCUAGCUGUUUGAUCUUGGACAAAACUUUCAUUCAUUCUAUAUUUUUUGGAGUGUCUACUCCAUGCCAAUCAUGUGUGAAAUGUUGGGAUAACAAAGGCGAAUUCAAUCUGGCUCUCGUCCUCGGAGCUUAAGCAAAUCAUCUGGGGUAGCGUGACCCAUGCUACGAUGGAGGUGGAAUACGGGGCUGCAGGGCGGGGCCACAGGACAUAGUGGGCAGCUUAACCUCCUUGAGCCUCCCUAUCCCUAAUUCACGUGAUGGGGUUUGUAACCACUUCUCACAUCGUUGAGAGAAAAGGGUGAGCCUGACUCAGAGGUGUGGCAAAGGAAGGGCAGGGCAGGCUUUAAGGACAGGGACAGGGCUGUCAGAGGCUGAGGCUAGGGAGGGGCAGGAAGGGGUGUGAGGCAGGGCGGAAGAGAGCAGGGCCCUGGGCAGGUGCUGAGCCAGGUCCUGCAGGUCACCCAGUCGCUUGAGUCCACGAAUGCUGGAGGCAGGCACUGGAGAGCCAGGGUGGUUCAGCCGCAGCUCCUCUGAGCAGGGAGUCAAACAGGGCUGAAACAGACACCAGCUCUCCAGGACCAGCUGGUAAGAGCUUCUCCACUGCCCCCGAGCCCUGACAGGAGGACUCCCACAGUGUGCAUGGAAGCCCAGGGAGCUCGGGGGCUACAGAGGCACCAUUGGCUCUGGAGCCUGCAGCCCAGACAGCCCCCUCCAGAUGUAAUGGGGGAAGGAGCCAGGGACUGGGAGGAAUUCAGAGGUCAGAGGAGGAGCAGUAUCAGGAGAUACUGCCCUCCUGCAACUCCUCCUCCCAGCUGCUCUCCCCUCCUGCUAGUGCCCACAAUGGCUCCCAGCUGCCUCCUAUAAGGAAGCUUUAUUAGCCUGCAGCCUGUACUCCUCCACGCAGCAGAGCUGACAGGACCCCAUUAGUCAGCUUAUUCAACCCUUCCCCUGGUGCACAAACCCUUGCCAAGCUUUUCUGGCAUUUUGCUCAGCCUGCUUGGACCCUCCAAGCAGGUAGGAACUCACUGUUUCACAAAGCAGUGUUAUUAGAAAGGUUUCCCUGACCCUAGCCCCCCACAUCUAAUCUUUCUCAAAUGUGGGCAGACUUGUUCCUGGCCCCUUCUCAUUCCACCAGUGCACACAUGCACAUGCUCCCUCUCUCCAUCCAAGCUCCAGGAAUCAACCUCUACCCUGAACCAGGUCCCUGAGGACCACCACGUGGCUGCAACACAGCAGGUGUGGGGCAGGGCACAAGUGGGCUUAAGGGGGGUAUAAGGGCUGGCAGUUUGCUCAUUGAUUCACUCAACAAACAUGUACUGAGCACCUCUAAAGGGCCAGGGCCUGUGCUAGGCACUGCGGUGCCAUGGUGAGCAAAUCCAGAAAUGGACCCUGCCCUCUAGGAGUUCACAGUCCAGAGGAGAAGCCCGAUGCUGAACAGAGAAUCACAUCCGUGAGCAACACAAAAGGCAAGGCAAACCCUGGGCAGAUGCCCCCGGGACUGUGUGUUAUGGGCCUACAGGAAGCCUCUCCCAAUGAAAAAGCAAUUUUUCAGCCAGAACCUCCACCAGUGUCUUUCAAACUGUGAGUGGCAACCCAUUUGUGGGUCAUAAAAUCAAUUUAGUAGUUGUGACCUGAAUUACUUGUUAGUGAAAUAGAGAGGAAUUUACAACAUCACACUUAGGAAAUACUGUUUUGUGAAAUGUUAGUUUCAGUUAUCUAUCUAUCUAUCUGUCUGUCUGAGAGAUCAUGUUUAUUAGUUAAGAUAUUAAAUGUAUUUCUUACUGCAGGUCUCAAUCAAAAACCUCUGAAAGCCACUGGCCUAGAGUUAGAGGAAGAGUUAGCCAUGAGAAAUGGUGGUGACACAGGUUCCAAAAGAAGAAACAAUAGGUAUCAGGCUCAGAGAUGAAAGGGCUAGAAGGAGGACACACCAAGUUCAAGGAGCCUGGACCUGUGGCCUUCCCUGCCUCCACCUGGGCCUCAACCGUCACGACCACCUGGCCUUUGAGAAAUCAAAUGGCUCACGCUGUGUCUCAGAGCUGCAACGAUCCAACGCCCUCCAUCCUUCAGAGGCUGUCUGAGUCCGGGGACACAACUCCCACCCUCCUCUCCUGCCAGCCGCGGCCCGUGGCUGCUCUCUUCACUUCGUCCCGCUUCGCCCCGACUGUGGAUCUACCCGCUCCCUUCUCCCUCAGUCCCCAAAGCACCAGACUCACAGGCCUGCUGUGUGACCCACUUUUACCGACCUUUCGGGGAGAGUAGAGGGCAUUUGUGACUCAGCUCAGAGCAGGAAACACAUCUCACGUCAACUGUCAGACAGCGCUGCUCCGAAUCCCAUCACAGUGCUCCAGCAGGGGGCGUCCUCACCGGCCGCGGCCACAGCCACGGCUCAACCCGGCCUAGCUCCCAGACACCCUCCUUCCACCGCCUGUUUUCCACCGUCCCCGCCUGCUCUUUCAAGCCAGCAGCAAACAACACCCUAAUCCGUGUCUUUAUUAUUCAAAGACCUUAAGCACUCUUUCCCACCUCGUUCCCAUCUUGAUUAUUUCAGGGAAUGAAUUAGGGAUUCACCUUUACAAUCAAAAAAGUUCUCUCAAAGCCAGGCUACUGGAGUUCUAAUUCUGCCUUCCCACUUUUACUAGCUGUGAAAUCUCAGGAAAGUUACUUAACCUCUCUCUGUCUCAUUUUCCUCAUCUUUAAAAAACAGGAUGAUAAUAUUUAGCUCCUAAGAUGGUUGUGAGGAUUUAAGUGAGCUGAUAUAUCCAAGAAUGUCUAGAACAGCGCGUGGCAGAAUGGGCAUUGCAUAUGGGUUUAAUCUUGUAACUGCCAUGUUUCACCAAUUCUAAGGUGUAUCUCGUUUCUCAUCAUAAGAGCUCUUCCGCUCGUGUGGCAGCUGGGAGUGGCCGUCAUUGCCUGCGCAUACCUAAACUUGGUCAGCAGCCAAGUGUUUUGUGAGACCUAAGAAAGGAAGAGCCCCAUAAGUAAAUGGAACUGUUGUGUUGUUUUAUUACCGAGAAAAGGGCAGAAUGAUUGCUAGUCACACGUGAAGCAAGAAAACCCCGGCAAUAAAGCUUGCAGAAUGAGUGGCUGAGGCUUGAAAAUAAAUGGUGGAAACAAUAGUGGACAAUCUUUUAAAGAAUGGCACAUUGCCAAUGCUCCUGAUGGCACAGAAGGUGACACCAUGCAGAAAAUCAAGGCUCUGAGUCAAAGAGGGUUUCAGAAAAAUUGGACUCUGAAUGUGAAGAAAUCUGGGGACUAUUUUAGCCAAUUUGUUUUGCCUAUAAUUUCCUUUUAUGCAUGCAAAAGAGCAAUUCUGAC